rnacentral:misc_RNA from 1 species
UUAUUGCAGAUCAAAGAAGUGGCAAAGAUACUUUCAAUGUUUAUGACCUGAAGAACCGAUUAAUAGCCCACAGUCUAGCAGUGAAACAAGUUUCUCACAUGCUUUGUGAAUGGGGUAACAUAAUACUUAUACUAACUGACAAAUCAGCUUUGUGUAUUGGGGAGAAGGAUAUGGAAAGCAAGCUGGAUAUGCUCUUCAAGAAAAAUCUUUAUACCGUGGCAAUCAAUCUUGUUCAAAGUCAGCAAGCUGA